UACGUAGGGCGCAAGCGUUGUCCGGAAUUAUUGGGCGUAAAGAGCUCGUAGGUGGUUUGUCGCGUCUGCCGUGAAAGCCCGGGGCUUAACUCCGGGUCUGCGGUGGAUACGGGCAGACUAGAGGCAGGUAGGGGAGAACGGAAUUCCCGGUGUAGCGGUGAAAUGCGCAGAUAUCAGGAGGAACACCGAUGGCGAAGGCAGGUCUCUGGGCCACUACUGACGCUGAGAAGCGAAAGCGUGGGGAGCAAACAGG
rnacentral:rRNA from 1 species